rnacentral:rRNA from 1 species
GACGAACGCUGGCGGUGUGCUUAACACAUGCAAGUCGAACGGAAAGGCCCUGCUUUUGUGGGGUGCUCGAGUGGCGAACGGGUGAGUAACACGUGAGUAACCUGCCCUUGACUUUGGGAUAACUUCAGGAAACUGGGGCUAAUACCGUAUAGGAGCUCCUGCUGCAUGGUGGGGGUUGGAAAUUUUCGGCGGUUGGGGAUGGACUCGCGGCUUAUCAGCUUGCUGGUGGGGUAGUGGCUUACCAAGGCAUUGACGGGUAGCCGGCCUGGGAGGGUGACCGGCCACAUUGGGACUGAGGUACGGCCCAGACUCCUACGGGAGGCAGCAGUGGGGAAUAUUGCACAAUGGGCGGAAGCCUGAUGCAGCAACGCCGCGUGCGGGAUGACGGCCUUCGGGUUGUAAACCGCUUUCGCCUGUGACGAAGCGUGAGUGACGGUAAUGGGUAAAGAAGCACCGGCUAACUACGUG